rnacentral:rRNA from 1 species
UACAGAGGGUGCGAGCGUUAAUCGGAAUUACUGGGCGUAAAGCGCGCGUAGGCGGCUUUGCAAGUCGGGUGUGAAAUCCCCAGGCUUAACCUGGGAACUGCAUUCGAGACUGCAUUGCUAGAGUAUGGGAGAGGGAAGUGGAAUUUCCGGUGUAGCGGUGAAAUGCGCAGAGAUCGGGAGGAACACCCGUAGCGAAGGCGGCACUCUGGGCCGGUACUGACGCUGAGGAGCGAAAGCGUGGGGAGCAAACAGG